rnacentral:lncRNA from 1 species
UUUCUGAAGGCAUUGCUCCAGACAAACUUUAGGUUGGGGUUAACUAAUGCCCAUAUUUUUUUUGACUACUUCAUGCCCCUUUUGAAGUUGCUACAAAUGUGAGGUAGUAACGUGAUAAGAAUUAUCCACACAAAUCCCAGUUAAAUUGCGCUACAUAAAUGUAAUCCAUUAUUGUCCUCCCUCUCCCCCUCUUUCAAUAGAGUGCUGCCUCAUCUGAUUUGAGGGCAUCAAUGACAUGGUGUUCAGAGACAUGCUGGUGGACAUCACACACAUGAAGAGAGCAGCGAGGGAGAGGUGGUGGAGCUCCUAGAUAUCCUUUCCAACUCCAAGGCCUGCGGCCCGGUGGAGAAAUGGCUCCUGGAGCUAGGAGAGGGGCAAUUAUCAGUUACCUGCAUAAGGGCAUCAUCUCUGAUCUGUUCCCAGUGGUCGUGCACCAAAACCGGACAAUUGUCUCCUUGCUGGAGGCCAUCAAGGAGAACAGCGACAAUAAUUUUAUUUUACCUUUUAUUUUACUAGGCAAGUCAGUUAAGAACAAAUUCUUAUUUUCAAUGACGGCCUAGGAACAGUGGGUUAACUGCCUGUUCAGGGGCAGAAGGACAGAUUUUGUACCUUGUCAGCUCGGGGAUUUGAACUUGCAACCUUUCGGUUACUAGUCCAAUGCUCUAACCACCUAGGCUACCCUGAAUUUGCAGGUGGCAGACUUCUUUGCGGAUUUAUGCUCGUGGUGGAGACCAUUGGAGGAAAGACAUGUGGCUACCUGGUACUGGCAGCAGCCUUACAGGACAUCUGUGAGAAGGUAACCUUAAUUUCUUAUAUAGGCCCAUAUAAUAUUAAAAAUAUAUAAAACCCUAUGCUUAUCUGGGAGCUUGAGUACAGGACAUUUACAAGGCUGCUUCCGAACAUUCAAUGACAGCUGCUGGGGUCAAACGAUAUUAAGGAGGGCUAGCUCGGAACUUCUGAAAAUGGAUUUUAUCGAACUGAUUCUAGCACUGAACGAUUCUCAUUCAUCAAAAAACCUAUUAAUAUUGGCAACUACUUUAAUGAUUUUUAAUUGGCAAGAUUAGCACAUUUAGGCAUGACACGCUAGCAACAAGCACCAACACUAUACAUCCAAGUAUAACUGAUAAAAUGAUGAAAGACAUGCACUGAAUUCCAUAAAGUGAUUGUGGAAGAGGUAAAAUAAUUAUUGUUGUCUGUCAACAAUGACAAGCCACCUGGGGCCUGACACCUUGGAAUGACAAUUGCUCAGGAUAAUAUAGUGGACGAUACUGCACCCUCCUACUUGAAAGCUUGUGCCCUCAGCCCUGGAGGGAAGCAAAUGUAAUUGUAAAACCCCGUUUACUGGCUCAAAUAGCUGACCGAUCAGCCUGUUACCUGCCUUUAGUAAACUUUUUGGGGAAAAAAAUUGUUUGACCAGAUCCAAUGCUAUUUUACAGUAAAACAAAUUGAAAUACAUCCGUGUUAGCUGUGUUGUUGGCUAGCUCCUCUGAACAACAGUGUCCUGAUGAGAGAACACAUUUUUUAUGUCAGGCGAAAAUGGGCAUCAUUAGCGCAUUUGUUAUGGAUGUAUCCAAAUAAAUAGCACUAGAAAGCGGUUUAACAAACACAAAUGCAGCUACCUUGCUGUUAUUCUGGCUGUUAUUCUGAUGUGACUGUAAAUUAGCCUUAUUUGGCUAGCUAAACAAGGGAUAAGAACAUUGCCAGCCAGUAGGGCAAUAGAAUAUUUAGAACGAACGACUGAGUCAUAUCAUAGAUUCAGAAAAAAAAGUCUUAAUGAUAUGUUCGGGAAAAACUUUUAUUAAAUACAUUUUAGAAUAAGGCUCUUUCAACGGAACUGAUAGAACGAGCGACCAGCCGGCUUGGGUAGUAAAAAAAAAAACUUUAGUUACGUGUUUGGAUUAUAUCUCGUGGAAGGAUGAAAUGUAUCCUCCAAACACCAGCUCGAGCAUUGACAAUUAAUAAAUGAGAUACAACAAAUUGGUCAAAAUUAGCCAAAUAGUAAACAAUUUUCCAUGAACAAGGUCUAAAACGUGUUUGAACCAAUUCUUAGGAACACAAAUUUCAACAAGUUUCAACCAUGAUAUACGGUUAUAAACAGUUUUCCAUGAACAAGGUCUGUUCGUUCCAAUUGUGUUUGAUCCAAUUGCUAAUUGAAAUGUUGUCCAGAACUGCGUAGUUGAGAUGGUAGGAACACUAUGGACAAAUUUCAACAAGUUUCAACAAUGAAAUAAUGUUAUAAACAGUUUUCCAUGAACAAGGUCUAAAACAUGUUUGAUGCAAUUGCUAAGUGAAAUGUUGGACAACAUUUCACUUAGCAAUUGCAUCAAACAUGUUUUAGAUCUGCGAAGUUGAGAUGGUAGGAACACUAUGGUCUAAUUUCAACAAGUUUCAACAAUGAAAUACAGUUAUAAACAGUUUUCCAUAAACAAGGUCUUAAAACGUGUUUGAUCCUUUUAUUGCUAAAGUGAAAUGUUUUCCAGAACUGCGUAGUUGAGAUGGUCGGAACACUAUGGACAAAUUUCAACAAGUUUCAACAAUGAAAUAGAGUUAUAAACAGUUCUCCAUAUAAACAAGGUCUACAACGUGUUCGAUACAAUUCCUAAAUACAAUGUUGUCCAGAUCUGCGAAGUUAAGAUGGUAGGAACACUAUGAAUGUCAACUAUUUUCAUCCAUAAAAUAGAGUUAUAAAACAGUUUUCCAUGAACAAGGUCUAAAACAUGUUCGAUGCAAUUCCUAAAUACAAUGUUGUCCAGAAGAACUGCGUAGUUGAGAUGGUAGGACCACUAUGGACAAAUUUCAGCACGUUUCAACCAUGAAAUAAUGUUAUAAACAGUUUUCAAUGAACAAGGUCUAAAACAUGUUUGAUUGCAAUUUCUAAGUGAAAUGUUGUCCAGAUCUGCGAAGUUGAGAUGGUAGGAACACUAUGGACAAAUUUCAACAAGUUUCAACUAUGUAAUACAGUUAUAAACAGUUCUCCAUAAACAAGGUCUAAAACGUGUUCGAUGCAAUUCCUAAAUACAAUGUUGUCCAGAUCAGCGAAGUUGAGAUGGUAGGAAUACCAUGGUAGGACCACCAUGGAGAAAGCUUCAUCCAUGAAAUACAGUUAACAGUUUUCCAUGAACAAGGUCUGUUCGUUCCAAUUGUGUUUGAUCCAAUUGCUAAUUGAAAUGUUGACCAGAACUGCGUAGUUGAGAUGGUAGGAACACUAUGGACAAAUUUCAACAAGUUUCAACAAUGAAAUACAGUUAUAAACAGUUUUCCAUGAACAAGGU